rnacentral:rRNA from 1 species
CAGUAGCCACGGGAAUACGAAGGGGGCUAGCGUUGCUCGGAAUGACUGGGCGUAAAGGGCGCGUAGGCGGAUCACGCAGUCAGAUGUGAAAUUCCUGGGCUUAACCUGGGGGCUGCAUUUGAGACGCGUGGUCUAGAGUGUGAAAGAGGGUCGUGGAAUUCCCAGUGUAGAGGUGAAAUUCGUAGAUAUUGGGAAGAACACCGGUGGCGAAGGCGGCGACCUGGUUCAUGACUGACGCUGAGGCGCGAAAGCGUGGGGAGCAAACAGGAUUAGAUACCCCAGUAGUCCCUGUCUCUUAUAC